AUGGAUAAGUUUAUAUUGAUGAAUCGUAAAUUCUCCCAGAACUCAAAUCCUCUUCUAUCACUUAUUAACCUUUCUCUCUCCUCCCUAUUUGUUCUCUCUCACAUAAGACUCAUCGGAAAAUAAACGGCCGCCGCGCCGGAAAUCUCCCUACGGUGGCGGCAGCGGCGAUUUAGUCCUAUCAUCAAAAUUCGACCCCCUCCCUACUAAUUCCUAUCUUCUAAACCCAAAUAUGGCAUCAGAUUCUACUAAUUCCAAGCUUAAACCCUUCAAAUCAAACCAAACCUUGAACCCUAAAUUUCAAAAAAAAAUCCUAAAUCGAACACUAUUCUUGAAGCUAAUUACCAAAUCAUAUUGGAUCUACGAUUAUACACACAGUUACACACGACAUGGCAUAAAAAAAAACGUGAAGAGAAUGAUUCGAAGUACCUGGUUCGACGGCGCCGGUGAGCCCCUUCGCUUCUAGAUGUACAAAGAAAGGCCAAGCUUAUUGACAUGGUAACUCAAGGAUGCUGCCAAUUAGUAGUUGGUACCAAGUGAUUCAUGAUUCAAGACUUGUAUCUAAAUUUGUAGCACUGUGAAGUUUGAACUUAUGUGCCCAAUGAGUCUUGAAUUGAAUGGAUAACUAACUUUCUUGUAGUUUAAGAAAAGAAAAAAAAAAAAAAACUUGUCAUUUAAAUUAGUUUGUAUCCAUUCGGAACCUUGCAAACUAGAGACCUUGUAUCACUUUGAUGGUUGAAUCAUGUAUCAUCUUCUUUGCAUCAUCUUUGUAGAACAAAUUGGAAAUUUAAGCAUUGUAUUCAUUUUUGGUUGUCCACUGUAUGUAACCUUCAAAAGCUUGGCAUGAAACUUGUGUUGAAAUGAUAAACAUGCUUGUGGUUGUAUUUGAA